AUACGGAGGGUGCAAGCGUUAUUCGGAAUCACUGGGCGUAAAGGACGCGUAGGCGGGUUGGCAAGUCAGAUGUGAAAUCCUACAGCUUAACUGUAGAACUGCGUUUGAAACUGCUAACCUAGAGUAUGGGAGGGGGAGAUGGAAUUAGUGGUGUAGAGGUAAAAUCCGUAGAUAUCACUAGGAAUACCGAAAGCGAAGGCGAUCUCCUGGAACAUAACUGACGCUAAGGCGUGAAAGCGUGGGGAGCAAACAGGAUUAGAAACCCUAGUAGUCC
rnacentral:rRNA from 1 species